AAAAAUCUUAAAGUUGUACGUGCUGAUUCAUAUUAGUCUCAUAACAGUACAGUGAUCCAAAUUCAUGGGAAAUGAUUAAACAAAAACUAAAUUAACAAGCACAAAGAAGAGUCCCAUUAUAGUCUUCACCAUAGGUAUCAAAUGUUACUAGUGUGUCCUCAUUUUACACAUGCUAAAAGAAACAGAAGAAACAAAUUAAGCAUAUUGAAAGAAAACAAAGAACAUAAGACAUCUAAUAAGUGCAAGGAUCUCCAUUUCUUCAAAUCACAUGAUCCAUUUCUAUAUGUUCAGAAUCAGUAAUGCGUACCUGAAUAUAGCAAACAAACAACAAAAAUCUUGAAGUUAUGAAGCAGCAGCAAGAUUAAUUCAGCAAGGAAGAAAUAGGCAACAGGAGCAGUAAAGCCUAGAUUCAACCAGUUGAACAAUGAAAUCAAUUCAUGAAAUCCAAUGGAACAGUAACCAGGCAACAAAACUCAACCAGAACUUUCAAAAACCAGAUUUAAACCAUUUCUUCGAUACCAAAGAGAAAUCAGAAACUAUUUUGAAAUGUCAAAAACCUCCAGAUUCAAAGGAAGAUCAAUGGAACAGUAGUUCCUUUGUAGUAUACUGUAUUUUCUAGGAAUUUUAAACUGAGCGAGCUGUAAAGGUAGAAAAAAAUAGAUCAAUCAAGAGAUAGUGGUUCUAAGCAAGGACGGACGACUGAGGAUUGGCCGGGGAGAGUCGUCUCAAAUACUGAUACCAUUUUAGAAAUAAGCCAAUAAAAAAAAUGGGGCCUUUUAAUUUAACUAAUUUGAACUUAAUUAAACUAAAGAGUCACUCUCUUUAAACGCCCUAUAAGAAAAGAAGAAGAAAGAGGCUUACCCAGCUUUUAAGGUGAGAACAGUGGAUUCAAUAUCAAUAAAUACUAUCCGAAAUAGUGAAGGGUGCUUGAUAAUAUUCCAUUCCUUGAAAGCCUGUGAAUACUAGAGCCAGUGAAACGGUAGCUACUAAAGCGUCUCAAAAUCUCUUCAGUAUUUCUUUUAGUAUUUUUCAGAAAAUGUUCUUCUUCAUUUCCAGUAUUUUCAAAAUCUCUCAUGUCCUCUCUGUAUCCUUCAGUAUUAAGAGUACCAGACUGCUCUUGUGUCUUUAUCCUCUAAUUUUCAUCCCCUUUAAUAGGCAUUCAGCUUAGUGCAUUCACCAUCAUCACUUCAUCUUUUUAAUUUUUAAUUAUCCACUUUUAAUGCAAUUCUAACCCUACCAUCCGUUAGAAGUUUCUUAAGUAGGUGAACACCCUUUUUAUUAAACAAUUCUCAAGCUACCCCUCACAACCACCUGUUAAUUACUUCUUCUUCCUAAAACUAACAAUGAGUCAAUUUUGAACCAAUAGUUCAGACCUAAAGUAUGGGUCAAUCUUGAACCCAAAGCCUAAACCAAGAAUCAGAAACACAAACAUGACUAAUUCGAGUGAGAAGCAAUCACAAAAGCCUAAAACACAAACUAAUCAUUGAUUUCUUUUAAGCUAAAUACCAAACUGGAAUCAAACUAAAUUAAUCAUAUUAACAAAGGUCCAAUUCAAGCUAAUUAAUCAGAAAGUGCCAAUAAUUUAAAAUAACAUUAAGAAAACGAAGAAUAUCAAAUAGCAAACUUGAAAAAGAAGGACCGAAAAACUGACAAAAAUGGACCCUAGAUUAGUCUAAAGGGAAUGACCAGGUUCAAAAUUUUCAACAAAUUUAGACGAAAUUCAUGCCAUUCGAAGAAUUAUAGAAGAAGAAAAGGAGCAAAAGAAUAAACGAACAAAAACUGGACGAAGAGAGAAAAAGAAACUUACCGAUUCAAAUCUUCUAACUUGACUGCUCUUAUAAUUUAAUCCUCAAGUAACGUCAUCCACUUGUUCUUGAGACGUUAGUUCAGGAUUAAAUGAAUCUUGACCGCUAAGAAAACCUCAAGGGAUGAACGAACUUGGCUAUGAUUUUUAGGGCUUGAAAACCUAGAUUGAAGAUUCGAAGAGCUCGGGCCAUGUUUGAGGGAAACAGAGUAAGGUUUUGAGAAGAGGGGGUUGAGGUGGUUAUACGGUGUGAUUUUGGUGGUGAACGGAGCCGGCGCCACCACCCUAAGGUGGUGAGGGUACGGUAGUAGCGUCUCUAGGGUUUGGUUAGAGACGAAGGGGUUGAGGGGUUCUAGGGGGGGUGUAAAGGAAUUGGGUAUAUUAAAUGGGGGGAUUAACACGAGCUGUUGGAUGUGGGUGAAAUCAAUGGCUU
rnacentral:lncRNA from 1 species